CGCGACCCCAGGUCAGGCGGGACUACCCGCUGAGUUA
rnacentral:rRNA from 1 species